ACACAUGCAGUCGAGCGGUAGAGAGAAGCUUGCUUCUCUUGAGAGCGGCGGACGGGUGAGUAAUGCCUAGGAAUCUGCCUGGUAGUGGGGGAUAACGUUCGGAAACGGACGCUAAUACCGCAUACGUCCUACGGGAGAAAGCAGGGGACCUUCGAGCCUUGCGCUAUCAGAUGAGCCUAGGUCGGAUUAGCUAGUUGGUGGGGUAAUGGCUCACCAAGGCGACGAUCCGUAACUGGUCUGAGAGGAUGAUCAGUCACACUGGAACUGAGACACGGUCCAGACUCCUACGGGAGGCAGCAGUGGGGAAUAUUGGACAAUGGGCGAAAGCCUGAUCCAGCCAUGCCGCGUGUGUGAAGAAGGUCUUCGGAUUGAAAAGCACUUUAAGUUGGGAGGAAGGGCAGUAAAUUAAUACUUUGCUGUUUUGACGUUACCGACAGAAUAAGCACCGGCUAACUCUGUGCCAGCAGCCGCGGUAAUACAGA
rnacentral:rRNA from 1 species